GUGCUUGCUUCGGCAGCACAUAUACUAAAAUUGAAAUGAUACAGAGAAGAUUAGCAUAGUCCCUGAGCAAGGAUGACAUGCAAAUAAAAUUUA
rnacentral:snRNA from 1 species